rnacentral:rRNA from 1 species
GAGCGCGAGCGACGCUACACAUGCUACUGAGUAGCGGCUAGCGAACUGCACUACAAUGCGUCACGGACUAGCCUCACAUCAAGGCGGAAUACGCUGCUACUCGCAGGUCAGCAUACUGCGGUGAAUACGUUCCCGGGCCUUGUACACACCGCCCGUCACACCAUGGAAGUUGGCCACGCCCGAAGCCGUUACUCCAACCCUUGUGGAGGAGGACGUCGAAGGUGGGGCUGAUGACUGGGGUGAAGUCGUAACAAGGUAUCCGUACCGGAAGGUGCGGAUGGAUCACCUCCUAA